rnacentral:rRNA from 1 species
GAUGAACGCUGGCGGUAUGCUUAACACAUGCAAGUCGAACGGACUCUUCGGAGUUAGUGGCGGACGGGUGAGUAACACGUGAGAAUCUGGCUUUGGGUUCGGGACAACCGCUGGAAACGGUGGCUAAUACCGGAUGUGCCGAGAGGUAAAAGAGAAAUUGCCUGAAGAUGAGCUCGCGUCUGAUUAGCUAGUUGGUGAGGUAAAGGCUCACCAAGGCAGCGAUCAGUAGCUGGUCUGAGAGGAUGACCAGCCACACUGGGACUGAGACACGGCCCAGACUCCUACGGGAGGCAGCAGUGGGGAAUUUUCCGCAAUGGGCGAAAGCCUGACGGAGCAAUACCGCGUGAGGGAAGAAGGCUCUUGGGUUGUAAACCUCUUUUCUUAGGGAAGAACAAAAUGACGGUACCUAAGGAAUCAGCAUCGGCUAACUCCGUG